rnacentral:ncRNA from 1 species
UACCUGGUUGAUCCUGCAGUAGUCAUAUGCUUGUCUCAAAGAUUAAGCCAUGCAUGUGUAAGUAUGAACUAAUUCAGACUGUGAAACUGCGAAUGGCUCAUUAAAUCAGUUAUAGUUUGUUUGAUACCUACUACUCGGAUAACCGUAGUAAUUCUAGAGCUAAUAC